AUUGAACGCUGGCGGCAGGCCUAACAAAUGCAAGUCGAACGAGUGGCGGAGGGGUGAGUAAUGUCUGGGACACUGCCUGAUGGUGGGGGAUAACUAAUGGAACCGGUAGCUAAUCCCGCAUACCAUAAGAUGUGCCCAGCUGGGAUUCGCAAGUUGGUGGGGUAACGGCUCACCAAGGCGACGAUCCCUAGCUGGUCUGAGAGGAUGACCGGCCACACUGGAACGUAGGCAAGGUCCAGACUCCUACGGGAGUCAGGAGUGGGGAAGAUUGCACAAUGGGCGCAAGCGUGAUGCAGCCAUGCCGCGUCUAUGAAUAAGGCCUUCGGGUUGUAAAGUACUUUCAGCGUGUAGGCGUUACCCGCAGAAGAAGCACCGGCUAACUCCGUGCCAGCAGCCGCGGUAAUAC
rnacentral:rRNA from 1 species